CAGACAAUAUUAAUUUCAUUCUUCAUUAUGACAUCGUUAUUAUGUUUGUGAUACAUAGACUCCGGCUGUCCGCACACCUUCCGGCACUCACAGCAUUUCAGGGAGAUUGUGAAGGUAACACCUAUCAGCGCGGACGUGUACUGCUACAUCUGAGAGGCGUGUUAUGAAAAUAACUUACAUCCAAGUGUAAAUGAGCCCCAAAAUUAGUAAGAUCUACUUGUUGAAGAAAAGACUGAUAUUUUGCAGGAUUCCAUAUACUGGAGAUUGAGGGACUGUUCAGGGAGUGAGGGAGAUUGCUACUAUUUCAGGGAGUCUCCUGCAGAAUGAGGGAGGGUAGGUAACUAUGCUCUGAUGGGAGGCUAUUCCACAUGUCCACUACCCUUUCUGUGAAGUAAUUUUUCCUUGAAUUUCCCCUGAACCUGCCUCCCUCCGCCAGAGUGUAUGUCCUCGUGUCCUAAUACUUCUCUUCCUUCGAAAAAUAUUGCCUUCCUGUACCUUGAUAAAACCAUUGGUGAAAGUUUC